AUUGAACGCUAGCGGGAUGCUUUACACAUGCAAGUCGAACGAGCGGCGGACGGGUGAGUAAUGUAUGGGGACCGACCGAUAGAGGGGGAUAACUACUGGAAACGGUAGCUAAAACCGCAUUCUACUGGAUAACCCAUAUGGGAUUAGCUAGUAGGUGAGGUAAUGGCGCACCUAGGCGACGAUCCCUAGCUGGUCUGAGAGGAUGAUCAGCCACACUGGGACUGAGACACGGCCCAGACUCCUACGGAGGCAGCAGUGGGGAAUAUUGGACAAUGGGCGCAAGCCUGAUGCAGCCAUGCCGCGUGUAUGAAGAAGGCCCUAGGGUUGUAAAGUACUUUCAGUCGGGAGGCGUUACCGACAGAAGAGGCACCGGCUAACUCCGUGCCAGCAGCCGCGGUAAUUC
rnacentral:rRNA from 1 species